rnacentral:rRNA from 1 species
UGGGGAAUUUUGGACAAUGGGCGAAAGCCUGAUCCAGCCAUGCCGCGUGAGUGAAGAAGGCCUUCGGGUUGUAAAGCUCUUUUAGUCGGAAAGAAAGAGUUGCAAUGAAUAAUUGUGAUUUAUGACGGUACCGACAGAAAAAGCACCGGCUAACUACGUGCCAGCAGCCGCGGUAAUACGUAGGGUGCGAGCGUUAAUCGGAAUUACUGGGCGUAAAGGGUGCGCAGGCGGUCUUGCAAGUCAGAUGUGAAAGCCCCGGGCUUAACCUGGGAAUUGCGUUUGAAACUACAAGACUAGAGUGCAGCAGAGGGGAGUGGAAGUCCAUGUGUAGCAGUGAAAUGCGUAGAGAUGUGGAAGAACACCGAUGGCGAAGGCAGCUCCCUGGGUUGACACUGACGCUCAUGCACGAAAGCGUGGGGAGCAAACA